AACCUCCCAACCCAGCAGUCCGGUUUCAACAUGGAUGUUUGUGGGGACAAACUGUAUUCAAGUCUAAGCCAGAUCUUUGCGGUCUCCUCUUCUGAGACACACAUGAAUCCUGCCUUCAAUUAUCACCUCCAUGAGAACGCGACCUCCCACGCUUCUUUUUUCUUGGCUGUUCUGAUGGUGAGGUCAUCCUGGCACUUGAGUUGUUGUGGAACUCCCAAACUGAAGCACUCCCUCCUAGGGCAGGGCAGAGGGGCACAAGAAGACUCAAGGAGCUAAGAAGGUAUCAUCAACUGUGUAAGGCAGAAUCACGGUCCUCCAAAGAUGUCAAUAUGAGAAACCCAAUCAUCUGCAGGCAUCAUCUCACCCAGAAAUAAAAACUUUGCCAACAGAGGCUUGAGGUAGAAGAAACCAUCAAGAUUCAUCAGUCUAAUGACACAGGUUUUUAAAAUAGAGAACGUUUCUGAGCAGCACAGAGCUAGAAGGGGGAUGGUGUGAGAAGCUUUACCAUCGCCAACACUGAAGAUGGAGGGAGGCACCCAUAAACCCAGGGUGUAAGAAACCUCAAGACAGGGAAAGACCUGGCAAUGGAUUCUCUUUCCCAAGAGCCUCCAGACGGGGAUAUAACCUUGACAUUACAUCUUGCCUGCUGCCUUCUAGCUUACAGAGCUUAAGAGGUAGAGAGGUGGCUUAGUGUGCCUUGAAUAAACUGAAAUAUGUGUGGUGGUCUGUGAUCACAGCAGGAAGAUUAAAAAGAAAAUUUAAAGUUG